CUGAGAAUAUUUUCCAUUUGUUUGCAGUUUUGCUCAUGUCUGCAUCAAGGCAGACAGACAGUGUGGUUAUUGGAACUGGACCCCUUCAGAGUUCAUCAUCAAUGCCACUGAACAAGCUAGAUCUAAAUACAGCUGGACCAGAAAUAAACUGCUCUCACCAGAGUAGAAGGAAGAGGAUGUGAGAGAGUGUGAGAAUAUUGAAAACUGGAGUGGUCUUGUCGUUUUUGCUUGAUCUUGUUUAAAGGAGUGCCCAAGCGAGACUGAUUUCAAGAGGUACCUGCACAGAUGAGGCUGCGAUGUGUCCUGAGUACACCCCCUCCUUCCUUGCCAGGGGGUCUGCAGGUGCCCUGCUAAAUCAGAGACUCACAGGAGCUCCUAUAGAUUCCUUGGCUGAAUUACUGAAAAUGCAUCUCAGGACUCCGAGACCUGUGUAUGGUCAUGCACAGUCAAAUGAAAGAAGAGCAGUGUGAGCAAACAGCACAUGACAAACAGCACGAAAGAGCAGCAUACAGACUGCAAAGCAGAUAAAUUGUGCAAAGGCUGCCCAAUCAUCCCUGAAAAAUAACAGGUAAGGGAAGGGAACAAAUUUGGAGAAAUUAGAAUGAACAAAACCAAAAUCAAAGUAUGGCAGAAUCCCACUAAAAUAAUUACG
rnacentral:lncRNA from 1 species